rnacentral:rRNA from 1 species
AUUGUGGACUGGGAUUAGAUACCCCAUUACUUUUUAUGUAAACUUUUGUUAUGCUGGGGGAUUACGAGCAUAUUUUGCUUAAAACUCAAAAGACUUGGCGGUGUUUUAUGUCUAUUCAGGGGAACCUGUUUUAUAAUCGAUGAUCCACGUUAUAUCUGACCUUUCUUAGUAUCUAUCAGUUUGUAUACCGCCGUUGUUAGCUUAUCCUUUAGGGGAUAAUAAUAAGCGAAAUAAGUAGUAUUUAUUACUAUGCUGUGAAUUCAGGUCAUGGUGCAGCUUAUAGGAAGGAUGCAAAUGGGUUACAUUUAUAAUUAUUUUUAAUGGAUUAAUAGCUGAAAUAGUUAUUAUUAAAGAGGACUUGAUAGUAAAAUUAUAAUAGUAAGUUAAUUUGAAUUUAGUUACUAAAACAUGCACAAAUCGCCCGUCGCUCUCGUUUAUAUUUAGAUGAGAU